rnacentral:rRNA from 1 species
GAUGAACGCUGGCGGCGUGCCUAAUACAUGCAAGUCGAGCGAACAGACGAGGAGCUUGCUCCUCUGACGUUAGCGGCGGACGGGUGAGUAACACGUGGAUAACCUACCUAUAAGACUGGGAUAACUUCGGGAAACCGGAGCUAAUACCGGAUAAUAUAUUGAACCGCAUGGUUCAAUAGUGAAAGACGGUUUUGCUGUCACUUAUAGAUGGAUCCGCGCCGCAUUAGCUAGUUGGUAAGGUAACGGCUUACCAAGGCAACGAUGCGUAGCCGACCUGAGAGGGUGAUCGGCCACACUGGAACUGAGACACGGUCCAGACUCCCACGGGAGGCAGCAGUAGGGAAUCUUCCGCAAUGGGCGAAAGCCUGACGGAGCAACGCCGCGUGAGUGAUGAAGGUCUUCGGAUCGUAAAACUCUGUUAUUAGGGAAGAACAAAUGUGUAAGUAACUAUGCACGUCUUGACGGUACCUAAUCAGAAAGCCACGGCUAACUACGU